rnacentral:rRNA from 1 species
CAGGAUGAACGCUAGCUACAGGCUUAACACAUGCAAGUCGAGGGGCAGCAUGAAGUCAGCUUGCUGACUUGAUGGCGACCGGCGCACGGGUGAGUAACGCGUAUCCAACUUCCCCUUAGUAGGGCAUAGCCCGUAGAAAUGCGGAUUAAUACCCUAUGUUAUUCGUCGAUGACAUCUGAAGUGAAUCAAAGGUUUACCGCUAAGGGAUGGGGAUGCGUCUGAUUAGGCAGCAGGCGGGGUAACGGCCCACCUGGCCGACGAUCAGUAGGGGUUCUGAGAGGAAGGUCCCCCACAUUGGAACUGAGACACGGUCCAAACUCCUACGGGAGGCAGCAGUGAGGAAUAUUGGUCAAUGGUCGAGAGACUGAACCAGCCAAGUAGCGUGCCAGGACGACGGCCCUAUGGGUUGUAAACUGCUUUUAUGCGGGGAUAAAGUGCGGCACGUGUGCCGUUUUGUAGGUACCGCAUGAAUAAGGACCGGCUAAUUCCGUGCCAGCAGCUGC